AACGAACGCUGGCGGCAUGCCUAACACAUGCAAGUCGAACGAGACCUUCGGGUCUAGUGGCGCACGGGUGCGUAACGCGUGGGAAUCUGCCCUUGGGUUCGGGAUAACAGUUGGAAACGACUGCUAAUACCGGAUGAUGUCUUCGGACCAAAGAUUUAUCGCCCAGGGAUGAGCCCGCGUCGGAUUAGCUAGUUGGUGAGGUAAAGGCUCACCAAGGCGACGAUCCGUAGCUGGUCUGAGAGGAUGAUCAGCCACACUGGGACUGAGACACGGCCCAGACUCCUACGGGAGGCAGCAGUGGGGAAUAUUGGACAAUGGGCGAAAGCCUGAUCCAGCAAUGCCGCGUGAGUGAUGAAGGCCUUAGGGUUGUAAAGCUCUUUUACCCGGGAUGAUAAUGACAGUACCGGGAGAAUAAGCCCCAGCUAACUCCGUGCCAGCCGCCGCGGUAAAAC
rnacentral:rRNA from 1 species